rnacentral:rRNA from 1 species
AUUAAAAACUAAUUUUGUGCCAGCAGUUGCGGUUAAACAAAAUUUAAAAUAAAUUUUUUUAGUUGUUAAUUUAUAAAAAAAAAAUAAAAUUAAUUAAAAAUUUAAAUUAUUAGGUGAAAUUUUAAUUUAAUAAAAAAUUAAAUUUUUAUUUAUGAUAAUUAAUAAAUUUUAAAAAAAAACUAGGAUUAGAUACCCUAUUAUGAAAAAUUUAAAUUUAAAAUACUAAAAUAGUAAUUAAUUUUUUAUUGAAACUUAAAUAAAUUGGCGGUAUUUUAGUUCAUUUAGAGGAAUCUGUUUAAUAAUUGAUAUUCCACGAAUAAAUUUACUUAAUUUAAUAAUUUGUAUAUCGUUGUUAAAAAAAUAUUUUAAAAUAAUAAUAAUAUUUAAAAAUUUAAAUUUAAAAUUAAAUCAGAUCAAGAUGCAGUUUAUAAUUAAGAAUAUAAUGGAUUACAAUAAAUUUAUUUAAAUGAAUAUGAAUUUGUAAAAAUUUAUUAAAGGUGGAUUUAAAAGUAAUUUUAUUUAAUUUUUUAAAAUGAUUAAAAAUUAAAAUAUGUACAUAUUGCCCGUCACUUUCAUAUAUAAGUUGGAAUAAGUCGUAACAAAGUAGAGGUACUGGAAAGUGUUUCUA